rnacentral:rRNA from 1 species
UACGGAGGGUGCAAGCGUUGUCCGGAUUUAUUGGGUUUAAAGGGUGCGUAGGUGGAACUGUAAGUCUGAUUUGAAAGCAGGCGGCUUAACCGUCUGAUGUGGUUGGAAACUGUGGUUCUGAAUGGGUUGGCGGUAGCCGGAAUGGGUCAUGUAGCGGUGAAAUGCAUAGAUAUCGAGAGGAACACCAGUGGCGAAGGCGAGUCCCUGGACAGGUCCUGACGGCUGAGGCACGGAAAGCUAGGGGAGCAAACAGG